GACAAGAUGGCCGAGUGGUUAAGGCGUGUGACUAGAAAUCACAUGGGUUCAUCCCGCGUAGGUUCAAAUCCUGCUCUUGUCG